GCGGGUUUAGCUCAGUUGGGAGAGCGUCAGACUGUCAGUUCAAUCAGGCUUCAGCUCGUUCCGCAAUAAGUAACUAACCAAAAGUAGGAAGAAAACUUCAGCAUGAAAUCUGAAGGUCGUGUGUUCAAUCCACACAAGCCGCA